CGUAGGUGGCAAGCGUUGUCCGGAAUUAUUGGGCGUAAAGCGCGCGCAUGCGGUCCUUUAAGUCUGAUGUGAAAGCCCACGGCUCAACCGUGGAGGGUCAUUGGAAACUGGGGGACUUGAGUACAGAAGAGAAGAGUGGAAUUCCACGUGUAGCGGUGAAAUGCGUAGAGAUGUGGAGGAACACCAGUGGCGAAGGCGACUCUUUGGUCUGUAACUGACGCUGAGGCGCGAAAGCGUGGGGAGCAAACAGGAUUAGAUACCCUGGUAGUCCACGCCGUAAACGAUGAGUGCUAAGUGUUAGAGGGUUUCCGCCCUUUAGUGCUGCAGCUAACGCAUUAAGCACUCCGCCUGGGGAGUACGGCCGCAAGGCUG
rnacentral:rRNA from 1 species